CUGCUGUUGGUUGACUUCGUGGCUGUUUAGUUAAACAAGUGCUCUUUUGUGUAUGCAGCUUCCCUGUGGAUCCGUCCCCAUGCAUCUCUGUAGCCGGACAUGCAUCAUAGCCGGAGCUGAGGCCUACAGUGGAGGGGCUACUGUCUUCCUGGUGGUGUCCCCUUUUUGGUGUGCUACUAUUAUACCUCACGGGUGUUGCUGAUUUGACCUUUGCUGUGUGUGUGUGUGCGAAUACGUGGACACUCUUGCAGUGGUGUGACCUCCUGGGACGCCUCUCUCCUUAGUUAGCCAGUCCCCUCGCUGGUAAGCCUCAGUUCCUGCUGUCUGUCUCCCCUUGGUAUGUCUGAUGUGCUUGAGACAAUGUGAGUGUAAUUUUAGAUUUUGUUAAUAAAUUAUUGUCAUUGUACUGGAAUGGAA